rnacentral:rRNA from 1 species
AUUGAACGCUGGCGGCAGGCCUAACACAUGCAAGUCGAGCGGAUGAGAGGAGCUUGCUCUUUGAUUCAGCGGCGGACGGGUGAGUAAUGCCUAGGAAUCUGCCUGGUAGUGGGGGGCAACGUUUCGAAAGGAACGCUAAUACCGCAUACGUCCUACGGGAGAAAGUGGGGGAUCUUCGGACCUCACGCUAUCAGAUGAGCCGAGGUCGGAUUAGCUAGUUGGUGAGGUAAUGGCUCACCAAGGCGACGAUCCGUAACUGGUCUGAGAGGAUGAUCAGUCACACUGGAACUGAGACACGGUCCAGACUCCUACGGGAGGCAGCAGUGGGGAAUAUUGGACAAUGGGCGCAAGCCUGAUCCAGCCAUGCCGCGUGUGUGAAGAAGGUCUUCGGAUUGUAAAGCACUUUAAGUUGGGAGGAAGGUCAGUAGCUUAAUACGUUGCUGAUUUGACGUUACCGACAGAAUAAGCACCGGCUAACUCUGUGCCAGCCGCCGCGGUAAUAC